GACGAGCGCUCGAAUCCGUUUGAAUGUUGGCGAUAAAAAUAAGUAGAGCAGUCAUGUGAUGUUGCACGAACAUGUCGCGACGAAAUAUAUAAUGUAUAAGAAACUCGAGGACUAUUUAUUUUGUAGUACGAUGCGUUUGCAUCAGUGUGGAUGUACAGCAGGGCGUGCAAACUCUUAUGGAGCAAAAAUGAUUAGCGUUAGCAGCGCUCUCUGAGAUGGGACAUGUGAGAAAUCGCAACUAAUUUGUGGCCGCCAUAUUGCUACAGUUGCGUUCGCUUUAAUGCACUUUAAUGCUUUCAAGCUUUAACGCUUUAAAGCCUUCAAUAAGAAAAAAAGUGUUACGAAGAAGAGAUGUUACGAGAAUGAAGCACGAGAAGAAGCAGGUGCGAGAAGGAAAAAGUUUUAGUAUUACUGCCAGUAACGACAACCAAAGUAAGGACUACAAGAAAAAAACAAGAGAAGAAGAAAAAACAAGAAGAAACAGUUAUUCAAGAAAAUCUUUUCCCUGUUAGCGACAAACAACUUGUUUUGUUUGAGUCUCAUAACAGCGGGAUCAAGAUGGUACGAGUAUGUUGUGUACCAGAAUGUUCGACAGGGAAGACAGCACCAUCGAUAUUGCAAAGAAGUGGACUAUCCGACUUGAACCUGAAACAUAUUAAUCAAGAUAUCGUGGAAAAUUGUUUCAGCCAGAUUAGAGACCAGGGUCAUAGAAAUAACAACCCUACGCUACAAUAAUUCAGCGCAUCUUUUAAAACGCUGUUGUGUACUAAUUUGAUUUCUAAGAAAUCACUGUCUUCCAAUUGUGAGGAAAGCCAAGAAGGCACGUCACUAGCUUUGCUGAAAAUGUUUCGUGCUGGAGAAUUAGCUGCAAACGAAGAAGGCACAAAAGAUAUUGAAUAUGCUGAAUAUGCGAUCCCACAACCAACAAGAAAUACAGAUGUAUACGUAAAACCGCAAAAAAUUAUAAAAAAUCUUGCUACACACAAAAUAGCAAUAGAAUGCUCUGAAUGUGCUGAAUAUGUAAAAAGCGACAAUAUUUUGCAAGAAAUUAUGGAGAAAAUAAAAGUCGCACUAAUGAAAUUUAUAUUUCUGUUACGAACAUAAAGUUAAAGAAAAAUUAAUAAAAGCAUUAUAUGAAGAAGAAGCAAUAAUAAGCAGAGCACGUUGUCCCACUUUGCAACAAGUUUUGGAUGAAAACAUCACAGGAGAAUUCAUCACAGCAUGGUGUGCAAUUAUCAAUAACAUUUUAAAUAGCAGGACAGAAGUACAAGAGACAUCCAAUUAUAUGUUAAAAGAAGCAAGAAGAAUGUGCAAAAGAUUUGAGGAAAAGUCAACAAUAAAAAGUAAAAAAUGAAAAUGUUACGAUACAUGGAAUCAUAGCUACAUGUAUAUUAUGAUAAUUAUGCCUACAGCAAGGAGAGAAGCAUUUUGCAAGAAUAAACAGGACUUUUUUCAGGAUAAGUUAGUGGACACUACUCAAGAAUUGGGACAUCACAGGAUCUUCCAUCUGGUAAAGACACAGCUAUUUUGUAAUAGCUGUGUCUUCAUCAGAUGGAAGAGAACAUUGGAAGGAUGAGCAGGACUUUUCGACAGCAACAUACUACGCCAGUAGAACGAGUUGGGCACUAUUCAAUAAUUGGGACGUCGCAGGAUUUUCUAUCUGGUAAAGACACUAUUUUGUAAUAGCUGUGUCUUCAUCAGAUGGAAGAAGAGAACAUUGGAAGGAUGACCAGGACUUUUCGACAGCAACAUACUACGCCAGUAGAACGAGUUGGGCACUAUUCAAUAAUUGGGACGUCGCAGGAUUUUCUAUCUGGUAAAGACACUAUUUUGUAAUAGCUGUGUCUUCAUCAGAUGGAAGAAGAGAACAUUGGAAGGAUGACCAGGACUUUUCGACAGCAACAUACUAUGCCACAGAACAGAAUGUACAGGAGCAAGCUACACACUAUUUAGGGACAAGGACAUCGUUGGAUUUUCCAUAAUAUACACAAAUAUUAUUACAA